GAAGCGCCACGCAUUGGUCAAACAGUCCAUUCUUUUCGCUCUGCAACUAUGUCACUGCCUUUGCCUUGCUUCCUCUCAUGCCAUUGAUCUCUGUGUUUCAUUAUGAUCUAUGAAUGCUUGGAGAGAUCAUCACCCACAGUCCAGGAGAGAUAACUUGGGCGAUACUCAGUUGCUUCUGGUCCUUUCCACAUCACUGCAGCUGUUUCAGCCCACAGACCGUGACUCUGGUUGAAAAAUCAGAGUCAGACAAAAAUGGAAAAUCCAACACAUCUCACAGCGCCUUCCAGCCUAUUGAAGAUCUAAGUGAAGCAUUGAUCGGAAAGUGGACCUGAGCCCUAGGACCAUGCCCCAGGACUACCUGACAUGAUGACUCCUUGCUGUCCCCAGUCCACCUGGCCAUGCUGCUGCUCCAGUUUCAACUGACCUGAGCCCUAGGACCAUGCCCCAGGACUACCUGACAUGAUGACUCCUUGCUGUCCCCAGUCCACCUGGCCAUGCUGCUGCUCCAGUUUCAACUGUUCUGCCUUACUAUUAUUCGACCAUGCUGGUCAUUUAUGAACAUUUGAACAUCUUGGCCAUGUUCUGUUAUAAUCUCCACCCGGCACAGCCAGAAGAGGACGGGCCACCCCACAUAUGCUCUCUCUAAUUCUCUCUUUCUUUCUCUCUCUCAGAGGACCUGAGCCCUAGGACCGUGCCCAAAGGACUACCUGACAUGAUGACUCCUUGCUGUCCCCGGUCCACCUGACUGUGCUGCUGCUCCAGUUUCAACUGUUCUGCCUUGUUAUUAUUCGACCAUGCUGGUCAUUUAUGAACAUUUGAACAUCUUGGCCAUGUUCUGUUAUAAUCUCCACCCGGCACAGCCAGAAGAGGACUGGCCACCCCACAUAGCCUGGUUCCUCUCUAGGUUUCUUCCUAGGUUUUGGCCUUUCUAGGGAGUUUUUCCUAGCCACCGUGCUUCUACACCUGCAUUGCUUGCUGUUUGGGGUUUUAGGCUGGGUUUCUGUACAGCACUUUGAGAUAUCAGCUGAUGUACGAAGGGCUAUAUAAAUAAAUGUGAUUUGAUUUGAUUUGAUUUUACCAUCUCUGCUUAGCUUCAGAAGCAAGCCAGCAGUGGGAUGCAAGGUGGUAUGCUGCUGGCCAUCUAAAGAUGGAAAAUGCUGUGUUCUGCUAGUUUCCCCAUCUUAGUGUAUCAAUACAUGUAUCUUUUAGGAAUAGGUCAUGGUUUUUAAUAUUUAUUAUACUCUAUCUGUGAUCAUACACAGUUGCAUGGUCAAUUAAUACUGACUUACAAAACCAACCUAUUCAAAACAGAUUAUUAUUUUGAUGACUUUAGGAACAGGAAGCGAGGGGAUCUGCCUUUUAACUGGACCAGGAGAGGUGGCAUGACAUUUAAGAAGAAGAAUUAUCACGUGGGAUUAUCAAGGUUAAGACCAGCUUUACCUUGUAUCUCUUGGCUGAUGGCUGAAGCCUUGUAGAAUAGACAAAUAAAGUCCUUUGUCUAUGCCCUCUCUCCCUCCCUGUUUCCCAUUGACCACAGACACAUGUCAGGAACCUUCCUGUGGAUUCUAUUGAGUGUUACGAAAGGAAUGUUUUCAUAUCAUUGACAUUCGCUUCGCUUGGCCAGUGGCAUCUUUUGUGUUUUACUUCGCAGUGUAUUUCUGGUUUGUCCUGCAGUGAUAUUUUAUCUCCCAUGCCCUUCCUCUCACAGAUGGCCCUCUUUCUGUCACCUUGCUGCUCUCGCAGGCUUGACUGAUGGGCUAUUGAGCCAGGACAGACGGACACCCGGUGAAGGAUUGCCCCUGCCAAGUGCUGACAUAAACCCAUUCAGCCCAGGGAAAUGAUAGAUGCUAAAUCUAAUUUUAAACACCCCCAACUAAAUUCCCCUCGACAGAUGAUCCAGCCGGCGAUGGGGACACAGCUGUGGGAUUCAGAUAAGGUGUACAGUCACCUGUACCUCCCCAAACCCUGAAGAAGCAGGAGGCCAUGAAUGAUCGAUGUUACACAAAGAGGAGGCAGGGGAGAGACAGGGAAAAGUGGUUAGAUAGAUGAAUUAGCAGAUCAGGGUAGAGAGAUACUUGUGGCUGCUAUAGUAAUUUGCUCCACAUAACGUCCAAGCGCAUUGAGUAUUCAAUCCAGAAUCUGUGUUGUUUUUGAUUCACACUUUUCCCCGAGAGUGUGCAGCUACACCAGUGGCCUUCAUGCAUAGCCAAUGGGCUUAGGUCUAAGAGUCUCUCAGGUAGGUGUAGAGACGGGCUGUCUUAAGGUGCAAUAAUUCACAGCUGAUGAUGAUUUAUGGCUUAGUGGGUGCACUGAUUAAAUCACAGAGUGCCCGGUUGCAUUACCGCAUGAUCUCUGUUUUAUAAGGCUGUUGCCUGGCAACUAGGGCUGGGAAUUGUCAGGGUCCUCACAUUAAGAUAUUAUCACGAUACUUAAGUACCGAUACGAUAUGUAUUGUGAUUUGUGACUCUGAUUUUAUUGCGAAUAUGUUCCAAACAUAUUGCUCACCAUAUGUCUGAUGCAGAGGGACAAGAGAGAGCCAUGAUUUCUAUAGUAAUCUGCCUCAAAUGAAGAAAUAUUGCUUAUGUUCGAAUCUGUUAUGCUGUCUUUAAGGUGUUUCUCAGUUUCGUUAUGUUAUAUGCAUUUAUUGAAAGAAAGAGAGAGAGCAGGGGUGUGUGUCUGU